AGCAGGUAAAAGACCUUACUCAUUGUUAUGUUACAAAAGAGCAGGUAAAAGACCUUACUCAUUGUUAUGUUACAAAAGAGCAGGUAAAAGACCUUACUCAUUGUUAUGUUACAAAAAGCAGGUAAAAGACCUUACUCAUUGUUAUGUUACAAAAGAGCAGGUAAAAGACCUUACUUAUUGUUAUGUUACAAAAGAGCAGGUAAAAGACCUUACUCAUUGUUAUGUUACAAAAGAGCAGGUAAAAGACCUUACUCAUUGUUAUGUUACAAAGAUCCGGCCUAUCCAUCAUGAGCACUUUAGCAAAG